CGCAUGCUACAAUGGCCGGUACAACGGGGUGCGACACGGUGACGUGGGGCGGAUCCCUGAAAACCGGUCUCAGUUCGGAUCGCAGUCUGCAACUCGACUGCGUGAAGGUGGAGUCGCUAGUAAUCGCGGAUCAGCAACGCCGCGGUGAAUGCGUUCCCGGGCCUUGUACACACCGCCCGUCAAGUCAUGAAAGUGGGCAGCACCCGAAGACGGUGGCCUAACCCUUGUGGGGGGAGCCGUCUAAGGUGAGGCUCGUGAUUGGGACUAAGUCGUAACAAGGUAGCCGUACCGGAAGGUGCGGCUGGAUCACCUCCUUUCUACGGAGUUUUGUGGGCGCACGGGGUGCGCCGAUGAUGGGAUGCUUUACAGCCUGGCUUCCUGGCCGGGUGGUGUCCCUUGCUGGCUGGAAAAGGGUCAGGGCCGUUCCCGCCUGUGUGGUGGGGUGGUUGUGGUGUGGUGCAUGCUGUUGGGUUCCCGGACCGCCAGGCCCCUUGUCGGGGGUGGUGUUCCGUUCCCGCCGUCCUGGUCCCGUCCCUUGUGGGGUGGGUGCCUGGGGUGGUGUGGUGUGGUGGUUUGAGAACUGGAGAGUGGACGCGAGCAUGAACGGUGCGCCCUUGCGGGUGUGCCGGGUGUGUUCGUACUGUUGAUUUUGUCGAACCGUUCCGUGCCCGCUUUCGGGUGGGUGCGUGGAUUGUGUUCGCGAGUGUUUUGGUAGAGCCGCCCGCACUGUUGGUGUGGGUGGUGUUUAGAUGAUCUGAUUAGUUGUCGUAGGGUGUUCCAGUGGCAGUGGCAUGGGCCCGUGGCCCUUUUGC
rnacentral:sRNA from 1 species